UCCUGCAGCCCUUCUUGGGCGUUUCCUCCCUAGACUUCGGGCCGUCCUUCGGGACGGCCUUUUUUAUUUCGGCCGC
rnacentral:sRNA from 1 species